rnacentral:rRNA from 1 species
UACAGAGGUCCCAAGCGUUGUUCGGAUUCAUUGGGCGUAAAGGGUGCGUAGGCGGCGCGGUAAGUCGGGUGUGAAAUCUCGGGCUUAACUCCGAAACUGCAUUCGAUACUGCCGUGCUUGAGGACUGGAGAGGAGACUGGAAUUUACGGUGUAGCGGUGAAAUGCGUAGAUAUCGUAAGGAAGACCAGUGGCGAAGGCGGGUCUCUGGGCCGAUACUGACGCUGAGGAGCGAAAGCGUGGGGAGCGAACAGG